rnacentral:rRNA from 1 species
GAGGAAUAUUGGUCAAUGGGCGCAAGCCUGAACCAGCCAUCCCGCGUGAAGGAAGAAGGCGCUAUGCGUUGUAAACUUCUUUUCCAGGGAAAUAAAAUUUCGUACGUGUACGGAACUGAAGGUACCCUGGGAAUAAGCAUCGGCUAACUCCGUGCCAGCAGCCGCGGUAAUACGGAGGAUGCAAGCGUUAUCCGGAUUUAUUGGGUUUAAAGGGUGCGCAGGCGGAAUAAUAAGCCAGUGGUGAAAUCCUGCAGCUUAACUGUAGAGUUGCCGUUGAUACUGUUGUUCUUGAGUAUGGUCAAGGUAGGCGGAAUGUGUAAUGUAGCGGUGAAAUGCUUAGAUAUUACACAGAACACCGAUUGCGAAGGCAGCUUACUGGGCCAUUACUGACGCUCAUGCACGAAAGCGUGGGGAUCGAAC